GCUUGCAUUUAGCCGUAAAUCGCUUGCAAAUAAAUCAAGCGGGGAAAUGUCGCUAAACACCCGUGCCACCUGUGACCUGAAGCGAUAACUUCCAUGAUACAGCAGCAUGCCUUGACAAUAUUGUGGCUACAAGAGUCUCAGGCCAACUUACGUUUAAAUCCAAUAUCUAUUCACCCUUUGUUUGCCUGUCUUGGCUUUUGACAGUUCUUCCAUGAGGAAUUUUUCAGCAAACAGACGCGCUGCACCCUUAAUUAAAGUAAGACCGUAAAGUGAAGUAGAGAGAACCGUGCAAACAUCUCAUCACAGAGAGAACCUUUGUCUACUCGAGUUUUAUUUCUUCGCCUUUCCUGUUUUUGACAAAUAGAAAAGCCAUAGCGCGGAACAGUGUGUGUUUAGACGUGGAAACUCAUUAACAUCCUGUUUCUAAUUAUUUUUCUAUGAGACUGUCUUGGAUCGUUAAGAGCUAUGAGAAUAGUGAAACAAUCAACGAUACAGUUAGGAAUGGCACGGGUGCGCAAAAAAGGCAUCAAGACGAAAUUCAUGUGCAUGCCUGAAUGUCCAAUAAAAAGGAGAAAUAUCAAAAGGGAAUAAUUGGCCGCAGAUCAAGGGCAAGCCGCGCGAGCGCAUACUGGGCUCAAGACAAAAAGGACUCGGACGGCUUGAUUUACCCGACAAUCGUCAUGCAAACCAAGUGCUAGGACACUAUCCAUCAUUCCGAGCAAUGCGCUACAGCUAGCUGAUGGCUAGACGAAAACAAAAUGGAUAACCUAACCACCAGCUGACUUGUGAUUAGUUAUCGAAAUGCAAGGGGGUAUCAGUACUUGAUGCUCGACGUACCGCGAAGAGAGUUCCAUGGUAGAGGUGCCAUCAAAAGCAGAGUUAAAAUAUAGUGCGUUGGGGUUGCAAAGAGCAGAACACUGACAUGAUGCCGCAUAAUAAUAAAAAUCAGCAGUGCAAAAUUAUACAAUUGCGCACACAAGAGAACCAAAGACAACAAAGAAAUAACGAUCAUAUCAACUUCGGGAUUGAGAGCAAGUGAGGGCUCCUAAAAGUGGGGCCCUUUUUCAGAUGUACUCUUUUACACUAUUUAGGUGAACAUUCAAGCACAUUCGCGUAAAAACUAGAAAGUUAAUUGCAUCAAACAUAACAAAGAGGGCAAACUUGGCACGUGGAAAAUCAGACCAGCCAUGUGUAAAAAAAAACUGAAAAUGUAUCUCGUCUAGUAAUUAAAGAUUUUCUGCCUCAAAACGUCUAAAACAUAGGCUAAAACAACUAAAUAAAUAGACUAGAACUGAAAA